rnacentral:lncRNA from 1 species
GAGAACUCUUUAUUCUUUCUCUCUGGAGUUUCUAAAGAAGAUCGCACCUAAUAUCCCUUGAGAACACAAUCUAGGAAAUAGAUAUUUGAAGACAGGAGAAGGUAGAAAGACCACAGAUUAGGAGUUACCCCAUUAAAACCUGACCUGAGGGUGCAGUUCUCCCCCACCUGGGAUAGUGUGUGAAGCUCCAGAGCUCAGUGUGGCAGCUCCCUCUCAGAGGUUCAGUUCUGCCUGCACCACUCUGCGAGCCUUUGUGAACUCCUGCCACGUGAGCUUCAGGCAAGCACCAGCAAACAGCAGCAGCUGUAGAGAACUUAGCCUUAAAAUACAGGCUACAACAACUGAGUUCCGGUUCAGAAACCAUUUAUUGUUUCACAAUGGCCUUGCACCGAGAUGUGGAGCAAAUGUUUUCCUGUUUAUCAGCAACACAAAUGCCUUAUGACAGCAGCACUUCAGAUCAGAUUGUUCCUCUUUUGGUGAAUGUGUCAAGCUGGUGAAGGUCUCUACCAUGAUCUCCAGCUGAGUUCCAACACAAAGGCAAAAGAUUUUCAAGCUGGAUGGAUCUUCAGGAGUUCCUAAGACUGAAGUACUUUCUCAGAAGAAUUGUAUAUCUCUGAGCCAGGUGUAUUGCCUCCCAAACUCCUCCCACAUACCCUUUAGUGCCGGAAUGGAUGCUCAUGGGUAUGGCUGCCUCUGCAUCCCCAAUACCCAUUCACAGCAUCUGACCAUUUUCUGCACAGAUAUAGUGAAAUGACAUGUUUCCUGCCUCCUGUCUCUCAUCUAGUUCUUGUCCUUUGUAUAGGACAAGAUACCUGUUAGGAAAGAAAUAGAAUCUCAGCAGCAUUUGGGAGUUUGGGGAAUAAGAGAACACGAUCUGGAAAACUGAUUUCAAAAGACAGCUUCCUAUUUGAAAAUAUAAUAAUGAAAAUACUGUGAAUAUAAAAAUGAAACAUAUA